rnacentral:lncRNA from 1 species
GUGGGGUUCGUGUUGUUUAUUCUUUAGUUUUCUAUGUUGUGUUGUGUGUACUAUUGUUUUUCUGUUUGUCUUUUUCAUUUUUAGCCAUGGCGUUGUCAGUUUGUUUUGGAUUUAUGAGUUUGACUGUCCCUUUGGUAUCUUUCGUCCCUCUUUAAUUAACCUUAAAUUAAUCAUAUUUGAAAUGAAUAGUUGAGUUUUCUCAAUAAUAAUCACAUGAAAUGUAAUGUUUAAGAAAGAUAGCUUGAAAAAAUUUAAAUAAUGUUCAAUAUAUUUAUAAAGGCAAGAAUAAGAUAAUAAAACGUGCAUUAAAC